AACUUUGUGUCGGUAUGAUGUCACUGUCAACUCAUGGUGACAGGGAAGUAAAGUGUUAGUCAUAUUUAUCUCCCACAUAGUUGUUCAGAUAUACUUUUACUGUGUUACUGUACGCACAGAAAACCUACAAACCAGCAAGGACUUCAGCGUGGAGUUCAUUGACUACUGGGAACAAUAUUGCCAUCAACUGUCUGUUUUGUGAAGUGUACGAAUAGGAUGUACUUCAUGAAGCGUGGAUGGAUACUUCUGUGUCUAAUUGCAGUGUCAAAUGCCUUUGAAACGUGUUACGAGUAUGGUAAUUUCCGUACACUGACAUGCCCGGAUUCCUGUUGUGGUACACGUUCAUCCAGAUAUUGUUGCCCCACGGUUUCCUUCGGCCAUCUACGAGCGGUGGUUAUUGGAGGCAUCGUGACCGGUGUAGUCCUUCUGAUCGCCGCAAUUGCAGGAAUAGUGCUGUGCUGUGUCUGCUGCUGUAGGUCAUCUCAAGGUCACCGAGGUCAAGUGGUGACCACCAACCAACAGCUUGCCGUCGUAUCGACAGGUACAAACCUCACACCUGCUACAUAUAACGCAGGGUACUUCAACCCACCCCAGCCUGCUCCAGGUCCAUACUACCCCCACCUGCAGGAACGUCACAAGCUCCACCACCCUACUCCGCCGGACCAUCGUACGACCCAGGACAAGCCGCAUAUCCAGCCCCAAGUGGAACAGUCCCUCCUUCUCCAUAUCCUGCUUAUCAUGAAAACAACUCGGAACCAACCAAAGCUGUGCCAACCAGCGAGCAUUAUUAAACUAGACUACAGUAGAGGCGAGGAUGUAUUGAUGUCAACGAUUUUUAGGAACAUGACAUUUCGGUGUACAUCCUUACUCCUUCAUCAGGUGAAUGAAAAAGGUCACUUGAUGAAGGAGUAAGAAUAUACUCCGAAACGGUGUCUUCCCUGUACAAAGACAAACCAAAUUUCACAUUUUGCACCAUGUAGACAGGUGUCAGCCCGGUAGGUAGACAAACCAAAUUUCAUAUGUUGCACCAUGUAGACAGGUGUCAGCCCGGUGUAAACCAAAUUUCAUAUGA